UAUCAAUAAGCGGAGGAAAAGAAACCAACAGGGAUUGCCCCAGUAACGGCGAGUGAAGCGGCAACAGCUCAAAUUUGAAAUCCGGCCUUGCGGCCCGAGUUGUAAUUUGCAGAGGAUGCUUCUGGCGACGUGCCCUCCGAGUCCCCUGGAACGGGGCGCCGGAGAGGGUGAGAGCCCCGUACGGUGGGACACCUAGCCUAUGUGAAGCUCCUUCGACGAGUCGAGUAGUUUGGGAAUGCUGCUCUAAGCGGGAGGUAAAUUCCUUCUAAAGCUAAAUACCGGCCAGAGACCGAUAGCGCACAAGUAGAGUGAUCGAAAGAUGAAAAGCACUUUGGAAAGAGGGUUAAACAGUACGUGAAAUUGCUGAAAGGGAAGCGCUUGCGACCAGACUCGGGCCUGGCGGAUCAUCCGGCGUUCUCGCCGGUGCACUUCGUCCGGCCUGGGCCAGCAUCGGUUCUGCUGGGGGGACAAAAGCCAGGGAAACGUAGCUCCUUCCGGGGAGUGUUAUAGUCCCCGGCCUAAUACCUCCGGCGGGACCGAGGACCGCGCUAACGCAAGGAUGCUGGCGUAAUGGUCGUYAGCG
rnacentral:rRNA from 1 species